rnacentral:rRNA from 1 species
UACGGAGGGGGCUAGCGUUGUUCGGAAUUACUGGGCGUAAAGCGCGCGUAGGCGGACCUGCAAGUCGGGGGUGAAAUCCCGGGGCUCAACCUCGGAACUGCCUUUGAUACUGCAAGUCUCGAGUCCGAUAGAGGUGAGUGGAAUUCCUAGUGUAGAGGUGAAAUUUGUAGAUAUUAGGAAGAACACCAGUGGCGAAGGCGGCUCACUGGAUCGGUACUGACGCUGAGGUGCGAAAGCGUGGGGAGCAAACAGG